CAGUACGAGAAAGACUGAAACUUAGUCUUCUCACAAUAUUCAGCUAGGCAAAUCCCCAGCAAAGUGGUGGCAAGAAAGACCAAGAUAGUUAAACUUCUCGCCAUAUCUUCUGAAAUGAUGAUACGAUCAAUGAACUUUCAACUUGGGGGAGUGUAGAAGGAGUGAUCAAGGCUGAUCAUAUUAACAUUAAUAUGCGUGGGAAGUAGCUAGAUGAAGCUAUAGUAACUGACCUUGAACCGUCUUGGAAAUGUCUCAUGAAAAGAAAUCCGUUCUUGCUAAUGAAAGCUAUCCACAUGAAGUAAACAAUGACCCAGUAAGUGAACUGGUUUGUAAGACUAAUUUCAAAAUUGCCCAGUUUGUCAAAAUUGCCCAAAAUGCAGCUCAUGUCCAAAUUUUUUGAUGCAAAGAUAAUAUUAUGAGAACUUUUUCUUAUUUUACCCAAUCACAGGUCACAUCUGACUAUUCUUUACUACCUACCAGUAAUGAGACUGAAAUUGAAUUGUCUUCUCCACCAGCUUAUGAUGCUCAUGAUGAUUUCAACAUCUAUCAUUCAACCAGUUUAUCCUGAUGCUCCAGAUACUCAGAGUCUACUGCCAGUGGUUCAAGACCAGCCAGUCUUGAUCAGCACAGAUUAUAAUGAACAAGAGGUAUCUAAAUUAUAAGUGGUACUGGAAACAAAACAGAUAAAUAGAGGAUUCAUUCCAAACACACAAAAGCUCCAGUGUAUGGCUGUGUUUGUAACAUGUGUUAGUCUCGUCCUGACCUGUGGUAUAACUAUUCCAAUUGCUGCUUUAAUUUUUUCUGUUUGUAUAAGGGAACUAAUGCUAAAACUGUAGGCUGGAGGAAGCUUUUUAUAAGACUAGGAUUCCUUUGCAGUUGUUUGCAUUUAAUACUCCUUGUGCUUAUAAUUAUGUUCUCUUAUUUAAUAAUAACAAAUUUAAAAUAAUUUGAAGCAUGAAACUUUAAUGUAACUAGGAUUCCUUUGUAGUUUAUUUAUUACAUAGUUAUAUAAUUGUCUCCAUUCAUAUGAUUAAAAGAAUUAUUAAAGCCCUUAUUUUAGUACUAAAAUAAAAUUUAAAAUAAAAGUCACCUAUGCAUGCAGUGCAGCAAGUUCAAUAUAAAACCUAAUCUAAACACACCCUAGAUAGACUAUAUAUAGCUGAAGCAAAUGCAGCAAAAGAUAGCAUAUAUAGCAAGCAGUCUUUAUACUUUA